CAGCAGCCACGGUAAUACGUAGGGUGCAAGCGUUAAUCGGAAUUACUGGGCGUAAAGCGUGCGCAGGCGGUUAUAUAAGACAGAUGUAAAAUCCCCGGGCUCAACCUGGGAACUGCAUUUGUGACUGUAUAGCUAGAGUACGGCAGAGGGGGAUGGAAUUCCGCGUGUAGCAGUGAAAUGCGUAGAUAUGCGGAGGAACACCGAUGGCGAAGGCAAUCCCCUGGGCCUGUACUGACGCUCAUGCACGAAAGCGUGGGGAGCAAACAGGAUUAGAUACCCGGGUAGUCCCUGUCUCUUAUAC
rnacentral:rRNA from 1 species